AGUGAACGCUGGCGGCGUGCUUAACACAUGCAAGUCGAACGAGAACGGAAUAUAGCUUGCUAUAUUUGUCAGCUAAGUGGCGCACGGGUGAGUAAUGUAUAGAUAACCUGCCCUUAAGAAAGGAAUAACAGUUGGAAACGACUGCUAAUGCCCUAUAUGCCUUUAAUACAUAAGUAUGCAAGGGAAACGCUUUAGUGCUUAAGGAUGAGUCUGUAUGGUAUCAGCUUGUUGGUGAGGUAGUGGCUCACCAAGGCUAUGACGCCUAACUGGUUUGAGAGGAUGAUCAGUCACACUGGAACUGAGACACGGUCCAGACUCCUACGGGAGGCAGCAGUGGGGAAUAUUGCACAAUGGACGAAAGUCUGAUGCAGCAACGCCGCGUGGAGGAUGACACAUUUCGGUGCGUAGACUCCUUUUAUAUAGGAAGAUAAUGACGGUACUAUAUGAAUAAGCACCGGCUAACUCCGUGCCAGCAGCCGCGGUAAUAC
rnacentral:rRNA from 1 species